GUGGGGAAUAUUGGGCAAUGGGCGAAAGCCUGACCCAGCAACGCCGCGUGAAGGAAGAAGGUCUUCGGAUCGUAAACUUCUAUCCUUGGUGAAGAUAAUGACGGUAGCCGAGAGGGAAGCCCCGGCUAACUACGUGCCAGCAGCCGCGGUAAUACGUAGGGGGCAAGCGUUGUCCGGAAUGAUUGGGCGUAAAGGGCGCGUAGGCGGCCUGGUAAGUCUGGAGUGAAAGUCCUGCUUUUAAGGUGGGAAUUGCUUUGGAUACUGUCGGGCUUGAGUGCAGGAGAGGUAAGUGGAAUUCCCGGUGUAGCGGUGAAAUGCGUAGAGAUCGGGAGGAACACCAGUGGCGAAGGCGACUUACUGGACUGUAACUGACGCUGAGGCGCGAAAGUGUGGGGAGCAAACAGGAUUAGAAACCCCUGUAGUCC
rnacentral:rRNA from 1 species